CUUAAGUGACCCGUCCCCCCUUCACCCAGCACCGUUUGUUGAGGGCUUGCCAUAUCUGGGCCCCGAGUACCCAGUCUGUAGGGAAAGUGGACAUCCAUACUCACCCCCCAGGCAUGGACCUGGGAGGGUGACUGUGCAUGACUCCAGGGAGGCCAGGGACAGGGCCCUGAGCGGGUGAUCCCUGGGCUGGACACCAAGGUCGAGAAGUUAGGCCGGCAGUGUGGAGGGGACAGCACUGGGGGGGGUGGCCUGGUGUGGGGAGGGGACAUGGGGUUCUGGGACGGUCACACCACUUCAUCCAGACACCACAGCCAGGCACAUCUGUCAGGCUUAGUUCUCCCAUGCCCCAUCCAAGAGGCACCAGCACUUUAUCUGUUGAGCCUUUAUGUGGCACCAACUGUGUGCACUAUUACCCGGUUUUACAGAUGAUGGAGGCCCAGAAGCAGGAGGUGGCUGGUGUUAGGUCACACAGCUAGGAGGCAGCAGAACGGUGGGGCGCUGCCUGUGCUCUUAACCCCCAGGCCAAGUCACCCCAUCAGGCAGUCAGGAGGGCUGGCGGCAGGGGGUGAUGUGGGCGGGAGGUAGUGCCUUCUCGGCAUUCUCACUGCAGCCUGGGUGCCGGGUGCCACUCUGACCUCAGCCAUGGCAGGGUGGGGGGAUGCCGAUGGGCGCUGCAGGGUCUCUCAGAGGCCCCUCACCUAUGGCCAUGGCCUUGACUGUGGGGGCCUCUGUCUGCCGAUGAUCUCCCUUCAUCCCCUACAGGUGGGGCGGUCCAGGGUGGUGGGGGCACAGUGGCCCCGGGCAGUGACCACAGGGUCCUGACCCGCGGCCCCCGCAGGCGGGCUGCAUGCUGUUCCCCCACAUCUCCCCCUGUGAGGUGCGCGUGCUCAUGCUCCUGUACUCGUCCAAGAAGAAGAUCUUCAUGGGCCUCAUCCCCUACGACCAGAGCGGCUUCGUCAGUGCCAUCCGGCAGGUCAUCACCACCCGCAAGCAGGCAGUGGGACCUGGUGGUGUCAACUCAGGCCCAGUCCAGAUCGUCAACAACAAGUUUCUGGCAUGGAGUGGCGUCAUGGAGUGGCAGGAGCCCAGGCCUGAGCCCAACAGUCGGUCCAAGAGGUGGCUGCCAUCCCACGUCUACGUGAACCAGGGGGAGAUCCUGUGAGUGCUGGGCUGGGGGGUGGAGGCAGCAUCCAGGGGAGCUGGGGCUUCCUGACCCUCGUCCCUUUGUGCCCCACAGGAGGACCGAGCAGUGGCCAAGGAAGCUGUACAUGCAGCUCAUCCCGCAGCAGCUGCUGACCACCCUAGUGCCGCUGUUCCGGAACUCGCGCCUGGUCCAGUUCCACUUCACCAAGGACCUGGAGACACUGAAGAGCCUGUGCCGGAUCAUGGACAAUGGCUUCGCCGGCUGCGUGCACUUUUCCUACAAAGCAUCGUGUGAGAUCCGCGUGCUUAUGCUCCUGUACUCUUCGGAGAAGAAAAUCUUCAUUGGCCUCAUCCCCCAUGACCAGGGCAACUUUGUCAACGGCAUCCGGCGUGUCAUUGCCAACCAGCAGCAGGUCCUGCAGCGGAACCUGGAGCAGGAGCAGCAGCAACGAGGGAUGGGGGGGUAGUGGUUACCCCGGGCUGGGCCUCUCCAGGAGUCACAGAUGAGGCCCCCGCAGAGACUGGUGACAUGCUUCUGAGCAGGGGCCCCUGGGGACUUCAACUGCCCAGCAACAUGGAGGAUGGUGUCCUGAGGCCUCCAAGGACGGUCCCCACCCCUCUACGUUUCCCCAAUAAAGCCUUUUAAAAACC
rnacentral:sRNA from 1 species